UACGAACCGUACAAACGUUAUUCGGAAUCACUGGGCUUAAAGGGUGCGUAGGCGGCCAUGUAAGUGAGGUGUGAAAUCCCUCGGCUCAACCGAGGAACUGCGCUUCAUACUGCAUGGCUUGAGGGAGACAGGGGUAAGCGGAACUGAUGGUGGAGCGGUGAAAUGCGUUGAUAUCAUCAGGACACCGGGUGGCGAAAGCGGCUUACUGGGUCUCUUCUGACGCUGAGGUACGGAAAGCUAGGGUAGCGAACGGG
rnacentral:rRNA from 1 species